GAUCUUUGGUAGACUUAAGGAGUAACUUUUUUUUCCAGACAUGUGCCUUGUUUGCCCCUGUUCUUCCUUCCUUUACUCAUCCUGCUGUAGAAUGAGGACACCACCAUCUUGAGUGAGGAGGAUGAACAAACACCACACUCUAGGGAUGACAGAGUGGCCGGAUGAACAGAGUCCAGAUCUCUGAAGACUUUGUAAAACAGAGCACAAAGUCAUCCUUGGACAGCACACCUCUGGAAUUUUACUGAACAUCUGUUGUAACCUGUGGGAAGCUUUAUGAAUGAAUAUAUCUUCAAGCAAAAUAGCAAAAGUUUAAAUUUUCUUUCUUUCUUUUCAUUUGCUUCCUAUGAAAGGAUUAUUAUCUUUUCAAAAGUCACUAAAAUGAUCUAUGGCUUGCCAACAAACAAAAGUCCAGGACCAGAUGGCUCCACAGAGUGAACAAGCUUGAAUACAAAAUAGCUCUCAUGAGGGAUCAGCCAGUCUGGCUUCAGCCUGCAUGGGCCAGAAUGAAAAAGUCCCAGAAGUCGUGUGACCUAAAGUGAUAAGCAGAGUAUAACAUGUUGUUAAAGUUAUUGUAGGAUCUUCUUAUUUAUCCCAUGUGCCCUGGCUACUGUCAAUUACACACAAACACAUACAUACACACACACACACACACACAUAGGCACACAUGAACAUACAGAUACACAAGUGAAAUGCACAUUCCCACUUGUUCUUCCAUUAGGAAUGUGGAAACAGCAGCUGAAACCUUACUGGAAAUUUUAAAGAAAUUACUCAUUGAAAUGAGAGCUCUCUCUUCUUAACCAUGACAUUAACUAUACUUUCUUACAUGUGAAGAAAAAAAAUAAUGGAAGCAAAGUUAACAAAGGGUGGUGAUUGUUUUCCACUAUUACUGCGCCUUUACAUCUUUUAGUGGAUAUUCAAAGUAUAAGUUGGUCAGUUUUGAUGAACAAUUACAGGUGAAUAGAUUGAGACACAGUGACAUGAAGAGACAUAUUCAAAUAAAUGUAUCAAUACUGAAGCUAAGCAAAUUCUAUUCCAUUACAUAAUGCACCCUCAACUAAGCAAGAUUUUCAUUUCAAGGAAAUCGCCCCAUGCACAAUUUCUAACCAUCUAUAUUUUUAGUUCAACAUUUAUUUCAUGACUAUCAACAAACUGAAAAAUAUUUAGAUACAAAAAGAAAAACCACAUUUAAUGAACACGUAAAAUUUAUUUACUAUUUGUCUAAUUCUCAAAAUAGAACUGUAGGAUACCAUUUUAUAGAGAAGGAGACUGAUGCCCAGAAAGGUUUAACAAAGGUUUAAAUGUGAGCUCCUGGUUGCAAGCCAGGAAAUACCAAGAUGGUAUCCAAUCUUAAGAUCUAAUCCUAAAUAACUUAAGUCAUGUUCUCAAUGUGUCUACUCCUAUCACAGUGUCCUAUUCAGUAAUUAUCUGGAUAUAACAAGGUACCGAAGAAGUUUCACAGAUGUAGAAGAUAUGGUUGAUGAUUAUUUGGGGUAACAGAACACAGAAAUAAGCUGACAACAAAUAAUACAGGGCAAAAUAUUCUAAAAUCCUAUAGUUAAUAAGCGAUAUUUGCUGACCUGGUCAGUUGUCCGUCUUGCCAACUUUCUAUCUGGUCCAUGACACUGUUCUGUAGUCUUUGUCAAUACUGUGAUUAUUCCCUCACUCAGUUAAGCUCCCUCCUAAAAUGGGAGCCCGCCUAGGGCAAGGAGUAUGAUUCACUUCUACCAAAAUGACUAAAUCAAUGCCCGCACAUUCGAUCUGGCACGCUAUUGUUUGCUAAGUGGAUGGCUAUACCAGAUGCCUUAACCCAUGAGGCUACUCCUUUAUUUAAUUAAUCUUCCACGUGCCAGGCAUUAUGCUGGGCUUUGGGAAUACAGCCCCAAAUGAGACAGAUGCAAUUUCUAUCCUCAUGAAGCUUGCAGUCUAAGGGAAAGAUGCAUCCAAUCAACAAGCAGUGGAAGUACAGGACACCAAGUGCCUGUCAUGAAGCACCUAACCCAGAUACUGGGGAAUCUGUAAUUCAGACAGCCCAAUUCAUUACCCCCAGAUUUGUUUAAGGCACUUAGAGAGGAAGAGAAGUAAAAGCAAACUUCCCAAA